UACAGAGGUCUCAAGCGUUGUUCGGAUUCAUUGGGCGUAAAGGGUGUGUAGGUGGCGCCGUAAGUCGGGUGUGAAAUUUCGGAGCUUAACUCCGAAACUGCAUUCGAUACUGCGGUGCUUGAGGACUGGAGAGGAGACUGGAAUUCAUGGUGUAGCAGUGAAAUGCGUAGAUAUCGUAAGGAAGACCAGUGGCGAAGGCGGGUCUCUGGACAGUUCCUGACGCUGAGGCACGAAGGUCAGGGGAGCAAACAGG
rnacentral:rRNA from 1 species